GGACCAUAGUUCUGUGGUAGAAUAUCUGCCUUGCAUGCAGCAGGUCCCAGGUUCAAUCCCUGGUGUAUCCA